GAUUUGUAAAAAAUCAUGUUUUUGAGUUACAACAUAGAUGUCACCUGACUUUCAGGAAAGUCAGAAGCAAGACCAAAUUUCAAACUUGAGAAAGGGAUCUGAGUCUUUCUAUUUCUCAAAGACACAUGACCUGGGAGCUGGAUCUGCUGCAAAUAUUGGGAAUUGAGAUGAAGAGCAAUUGAUGAGUUUUUGCUGUGCACUCCAUUUUUAUUUCAUUUCUUUACUGAAGACUAAUGGCUAUUUUUCAGGCAAGCAAGUGAAUGAAGAGCCAGAAGAGGAGAGGAAACAAACUUGUUCAACUCUUUUGCUGUGUCUUACAGUGCAUGGUGUCUUAGAUGUGACAAAUUGGGGCCACCUGUGGGUGUGAGGAGCUGCUGCAUUGUGGUUUCAGAUCUGCUUUUCCUUCAGUUUCGUGUGAGAAGGCUCUUACCAUCAGCCGUACCACUACUACUUAAUCUGUAUAAUACCAGUUUAAAGUCACCUCCUCAAAUGGUUCUCCAAUGACUUCACAGUAGGGCUAAACUCCAGGCUUUUCUCCUGCCAUGUCCCCCAAGUGCCUUCAUUCAAGUCACAAAGAGUAUCUACCCUUCCUGAUUUUUUCUCAGGUUUUUUCUCUUUCGUGCUCUUUCCCGGAUUUGGUCCUUCCGCAUGCAGUUUCAUCUGACUGGAACCCUGUUCUCUGACAUCACCACCUGACUGCCACAGUUCUCAGCAUUCAGCCCAAACAUUGCCUUUUCCAGGAAGCCUCUCCUGACCCUCAGGACUUAGCUGCUUAUACUGUGCCAAAAUGGCCAAUUUGCUUAUUAACAUCCAUCAGUUCUCCCAGGGUAGAGGCAAUUUAUGUGGUUAUCACACUGUGUAAGUUGCAAGUGUUUGUUGAAUGAAUGAGUGAUUGGGCAUAUGAAGGCAUUAGUAUGGGAGAUUUGGAAAUGGGAGCAAAGAGAGAUUUGACCGUGGGAUUUAUCUAAGAGGGCUUUUUAAUAAUAAUACUAGUAAUAAAAAUGAUGAUGAUAACAUCCUGUUUGCUUUGUUUGACUGGCUUAAGCAAAGGGUUGGUUCUGGAAAGCACGACACAAUCUUCAUUCAGUUCAAAUCCAGAGGUGGAAGAAUGUUGAGAAAUGCUCCAGGCUUAUAUGAAAAUGAGCUCCUUUAAUCAUAGCAGUUACUCAGUAGGCCACGGGGAAAGUGAUUAAAGCCGAUGAUUCACUGUAGGGUUCAGUGAGAAGUUGUUUCAGCCCUGCCUUGACGGCCAUGGGUGGAGA